CCGGCAGGCUUAACACAUGCAAGUCGAACGGGCACUUCGGUGCUAGUGGCAGACGGGUGAGUAACACGUGGGAACGUACCUUUCGGUUCGGAAUAAUUCAGGGAAACUUGGACUAAUACCGGAUAAGCCCUUCGGGGGAAAGAUUUAUCGCCGAUAGAUCGGCCCGCGUCUGAUUAGCUAGUUGGUGAGGUAAUGGCUCACCAAGGCGACGAUCAGUAGCUGGUCUGAGAGGAUGAUCAGCCACAUUGGGACUGAGACACGGCCCAAACUCCUACGGGAGGCAGCAGUGGGGAAUAU
rnacentral:rRNA from 1 species